CUCGGGUGAGCUGCAGUCCCCAGUCGUAGACUGAAAGUCCAUACAUGGUGUCGUCGAGUUGGCGCUGGCGGCGGACGGUAGCAAGACAGCAGCAGCAGCAGCAACAACAACAACAACAAUAAUAAUAAUAAUAAUAAUAAUAAUAUCUACUGCAGAUCAAUAAAAGUGUUCGUGUUUUCUUUUCAUCGAUUCAUCGUUGCAUUUCGUCGCGCAAAAUUAUUGCACCGUAAUUCGUAUCAUUAUAUUAUAAUUGCGUACAGGUAGUUGCAAUACCUGCAGCGUGCAUUUCGGUGUAUGAUACAAUACAUAUUAAUAUACGCACAAAAGAAAAAUUAUCAACUAUAUGAUAUCAUAAUUCAUCGUGAAAAAGAGGAUAUUUUAAAAGUUCUUAUCAGUGUCUUCAACUAAGUUAUAUUUUUUAAUUUAAUCUCCUGUUGUUUUGUUUUUUAUAAAAUCAUAAUUAACAUGCAAGAACAUCCAACUGAUUGGCUUAUGAUCAUCGCAAUAUGUUUCAUAACUAGUUGUGUGUUAAUUGGUAUACUGUGUGUUGUUUGUUGUUUUUGGUCUAAAUGCUUAUUAUUCAAUUGUUGCCGACCAGUUUAUAACAACACUUUUAUUAUAAGUUAUGAUAAACCGGAUGAUGAAUCAUUGAACUUACCACCAGAAGACACAAAUAACAGUACUUGUUAUUCACCAGUACAAAUGAAAAAAAUAAAACCAUUUGAAGACUUUUAAGAAUGAUAAACGCUUAUGUUGCUUUUAAUAUGUGACAACAAAAAAAAAUUGUCAAAAUGCAACGAAUGUUCCUGAUCUCAGUAUUACCUACAUAGUACAUAUACAAAUAAAUCAUAAUAAUAAGACAAGAUUCAGAAGUCAACAAAGAUAUUUCAUUUAUUCAAAAACAAACAAUAUUUUAACAAUUGAUUAAUAUAUCGAUGAACUAUAAAGAUCUCAGUAAUAAAUACUAUUGUUAUUUGUUAGGUAGGUACUGGUGUAUGUUGUAUUAUUAUACUACAUACCCACUUACUUUUGACU